rnacentral:rRNA from 1 species
ACACGUGGUCGAUAGGCCGGACGUGGAAGCCCCGCGAGGGGUGGAGCCGACCGGUACUAACGGGGGAACGCCACA